UUAUAGCAGAAGGGCAGGGUAACGAGUAAAUGAUCUUUUAGGCAGGAAACUGGGAAAGGAAAUAACAUUUUAAAUGAAAAUAUAGAAACAUCCAGUUAAAAAAAGCAAUAAAAUUUGCUAAAAAAUGAAAGAUAUAAAAUAAAAGUAAACUGCCAACUAAUUAUACCUGUUGACUUGGAAAUCUACAAUGAUAGUCAGAGUAAUACAAGUGGUAAGACUAAGAUGAUGAUAUCUGAAAUAGAGCACUUCUCUCUCCCAGAUAGAAGUAUCAGACAGAAACUGCACUAUAGGUAUCCAAAACAUUGAAGAGUUUACUCUGAGCUGCGGACAUAAUGCUUGUCCUUCCCAUCUUCCUAAGUAACUUUCUCUUUUUGAGAAAAAGUAUAAAGUCCAUGACCUGUCAGGGAUACAACUGUGCCAUUCACAACACUUGACUUUGGAAUAAAGGAAUGAAUGAUAUAAACUCUCUGACUUCCAGAAAGCAAAAGAAAAGGGAAGUCCAGAUGCUUCUGAGAGGCUCCCGGCUCCUAAUUCCCUUAUGUGGAAGGCGAAGUUAAAGGCUAUCUCUUCAGAGUUACCCCUCAACACCUAACAAGGACAUACUAAACUUUCCCAAGCACCACAUAAUUUUCCCUGUUUUUUUAUACCAAGACAGAAGGCCAGCUUCCUUCUCUCCAUUUCAUAUCCUUCAUCCUCUUUUUUCUCACUUCCAAAUUGUCUCUGAAUUAGGCCAAAUAGUAAACCUUAGAGGUAUUGAAGGAAAAUCUGAGAGGCAGUUGCAGUCAUGACAACAGAAGGAGCUAGGGGUCACCAGAUUAUAAGAGAGUUUUCAGGCAGGUUCUAAUGAUAAUGUCACUGAGCACUACCGUGAUCUACAUGCUGAACACUUCCUUACAUUGACCAGAUUCAAGAGUGCCUUUCCCAGGUAUGUCUCAGGAAACACAGUGGAAACCUGUAUGUACUACAUCACUCUAAAGUAGAGACUUCUUUCUGCUUCUCUAGUCGUUACAUGCUCUGAAUGUAGAAAGUUAUCCAGGGGCUUAGCAUGGGUAGAAACGAUUUAGGAACAUGGAGUGUAGGAAAUACUUCUAGAUAAUAUUUUUAUUCCCAGGUUCAUUCCUGUGACAUAAAGUUCAAUUUUCUGUGUUUUCUUUCUUUCCCAAAUGCCAGUAUUUUCUCUACAACCUUUAAUUGAAUGAAUAUUGUAUUUCAAUUUCUUACUGUAAAUUCCUUGAUAGGGGAUUUUGUAAAUGUUCCUCAUUGUGUAAUCAAAAAUUCUGUUUUCCAAUUAAAUUUUCUGCAAUGAUUUUGGUCACAAAGGGGGCCCAGCUAUAGAAUGAGUACAACACUGUAACUACUGUGUACCUAUUUCAAAUGAUGAAUUCCCAAAUCCUUUUUUUUUUUACCAAAAAAAUUACCAGACAUCAGGAAAGCAAAGUAUAACAUGGAUUUUUUAAUUCGGUUCUCUACUCCCAUUUGAUAUCAGUACUACCCUAUCUCUCUUCCAGUUUUCCCAUGGCCAGACUUGAGUGUUUAGGAAGUUUUACCAUGAUUCUUUCUUAAGGCCAAAUGUAAUCUACCAGAUGAUGGGCAGGGGAGAAGAAUGGCUUGAGGACCAGUUAAAUGUCUACUUGAAUAGGUUCAUAAAAACAGGAGGGAGUCUAUUUACAUUGUCAUCUGUGAAUUCUACAUUCUUGACAUAGUUGGGGAGAAUCCUUGUUAACAUUCCGCCUAACAACGUAAGUGUAGAAGCCUCCAAAAUUAUUUAUAUACAUCAGCCACCAAAACUAGAUAAGAUUGAUAAAGCUAAUAAGUGCAUUCUUCCAGGAACUCGAUAAAGAUAUUUACUGAGAGACACAGAUACAGCAUGUCAAAUACAGAAGUGAAUGCUAGUAGCAAACCAGUGAACUGAAAACAGACCUCUUGUAGGUAAAUAUUGAAAAAGGUUAGAAGAGCUGAAGGUGAUUUCAACCCCAUAAGAACAACAAUGCCGGGGCUGGGGAUUUAGCUCAGUGGUAGAGCGCUUACCUAGGAAGCGCAAAGCCCUGGGUUCGGUCCCCAGCUCAAAAAAAAAAAAAAAAAAAAAAAAAAAAAAAAAAAAAAAACAACAACAAUGCCAAUAAACCAGAGCCUUCGGAUACCAGACCAAUAAACAAAGAACGUACAUGGACUGAUCUAUGGCUCCAAAUUCAUAUGUGGCAGAGGAUGGCCUUUUUGGGCAAAAAUGGUGAUGAUGCCCUUGGUCCUCCCUAAUUUGUCUCCCAGUUCAAGGGAAUGUCAAUGGACAGAAAGUCUGGUUAUAGAAGUAAGAAAAGGGAACAUGUAGGGAUCUUAAGGGAUUAAACUGGGAAAGGAAUUAAUAUUUUAAAUGUAAAUAUAGAAAACAUCCAGUUUUAAAAAAGCAAUAAAAUUCUCUAAAAAAUAUGAAUGACAUAAAAGAAAAGAAAGAUGCCAAGUAAUCACAUGUAUUUCCUAGGAAAUUGAAGUGGUAGUCUGAGUAAUACUAGUGGAAAGACUGAGAUGAUCAAGUCUCAACUAGAAGCACUUCUCUCUCCCAAAUAUCAGUGUCAGACACAAAGUGCUCUAUAGAUAUCCAAAGCAUGAGUUUACUUGGAGCUAAGCAUACAAUACUUGUUUUUCCCUUCUUCCUUAGGACCUUUUCUUCUUUACAAAGUAUAAAGGUCAUGACUUAUCAGGAAAACAAAUAUGCCCUUCAAACACUUGGCUUUUGGAGUAAAGAAAUGAAUGAUAUAAACCCACUGUCUUCCAGGAACCAUAAGAACAGAAAAGUCCAGAGUGUAGGAAGUUCUUAUAGACAAUAUUUUUAUUCACAGGUCAUUCCUGUAUACUCUAUCUAGUUUCCAGUGUUUGCAUGCCCAGACAUAAGGGUAGGAUGAUUUAUCAUCAUUCUUUCUUAAGUCCAAAAGUAAGAUACUGGACUAAGGACAGGGAGAAAAAUGUCUUGAGGACGAGUUAAACAUAUUCUUCAAUAGGUUAAUAAAAACAGGAGAGAGUCUAUUUGAAAUUGUCAUUUGUGAAUUUUACACCUUUGACAUAUUUGGCCAGAAUCCAUGAUAAUUUUCCACUUAAACAUUUAGGUGUAGGAGCCACCAAAAGUAUAUAUGUAUACAUCAGCCAACAAAACUAGGUAAGAUUGAUGAAGGUAAGAAGUGCUUUCUGCCAGGCACCAGAUAUAGAUAUUUACUGAGAGGCACAGAUACAGCAUGUCAAAUACAGAAGUGAAUGGUGGUAGUAAACCAGUGCACUGAAAACGGACAUAUGGUUGCUAAAUCUUGAAAAAGGAUUAGAAGAGCUGAGGGUGCUUUCAACACCAUAAGAACAACUAUGCCAAUGAUACAGAGCUUUAUUGUACUAGACAAAUAUAAAAAGAAAGUACAUGUACUGACCUAUGGCUCCAAAUGAAUAAGUUGCUGAGGAUGUCAUUUUUGGGCAACAUUGAAAAGAGAGGCACUUGUCCUUCCUAGUUUUUCUUCCAAUUCAAGGGAAUGUCACGAGCCAGAAAGGCUGUUUAGAGAAGAAGGAAGGGGUUGGGGAUUUAGCUCAAUGGUAGAGUGCUUGCCUAGGAAGCGCAAGGCCCUGGGUUCGGUCCCCAGCUCAGAAAAAAAAAAAAGGAAAUGGAAUGCGUAGGGAACAUAUGAUCAGGAAACUGGAAAUUGAAAUAGUAUUUUAAAUGUUUAUAUCUACUUAAAAAUCUAGUUAAAAGGAAUUAAUUUUGCUAAAAUAUAAAAAAAAUGAAUGAUAUAAAAGAAAAUAAAUGUGCAAAGUCAUAACAAUUAUUGGCUCAGAAAUUUAAAGUCAUAGUCAUAGUAAUACUAGUGGAAAGACUGAGAUGAUGAAGUCUCAACUAGAAGAAUAUUCUCUCCCAAGUAUCAGUGUCAGACACAAACUGCACUAUAGGUGUCCAAAGCACAGAGGAGAUGAUUAACUUAAGUUAGGGACAGAAUAUUUGUUUUUCCCUUCUCCUUAGGACCUUUUCUUCUCGACAAAAAGAGUAAAGGUCCUUAGCUCUCAUUAAAACAACUGUGCCUUUCACAACACUUGGUUUUUGGAAUAAAGAAAUGAACGAUAUAAUCCCUCAGGAACCAUAAGAACAGGAAAGUCCUGUUGUUUCUGAGAGUCUCCAAGCUCAUGAUUCCCUUAUUUAUAAGGCUCAGAUCAAGAUCUUUUCAGCGAUAUCACUCAAGCCCUACAAAGGACUCACUGAACUUUCCAAAGGACCACAUUUUUCUUCCUUAUUUUUUAUACCAAGACAGAAGGCCCGCUUCCUUCUCCCCAUUUCCAAACACUUCUUCCUCUUUGUUACCACACCACAAUUUGCUCUGAAUUAGAGAAUAUUAGUAAAACCUAUUGGUGAAGGAAUAACUGAGAGGCAGUUGCAGUCACGACAAUAGUUGUGACAUCACAGAAGCUAGGACGCUCAAGGUUACAAGAGAGUUUUCAGGGAGGUCCUAAUGAUUAUGGCACUGAGAACUGCUGUGGACUACCUGCUGAACACCUUUCCUUACAUUGACUAGAUUCGAAUUUUCACUUUCCAAGUAUGUCUCCCGUUACACAGUUGAAACCUAUACCUAACACAUCUCUCUAAAGCUAGAGACUUCUCUCUGCUUCACAAGUGGUUACAUGCUCUGAAUGGAGAAAAUUAGACAGGGUAGAAAAGAUUUAGGAACAUGGAGUGUAGGAGAUAAUUCUAGAUAAUAUUUUUUUGGUUCUUUUUUUCGGAGCUGGGGAUCGAACCCAGGGCCUUGCGCUUCCUAGGUAAGCGCUCUACCACUGAGCUAAAUCCUCAGCCCCUCUAGAUAAUAUUUUUAUUCCCAGUUUCAUUCCGUUGAUAUAAAGUUCAAUUUUCUGUGUUUUCUCUGUUUCCCAAAGGCCAGUAUUUUCCCUACAGACCUUUAAUUUAAUGAAUAUUGUAUUUCAAUUCCUUAUGGUUAAUUCCUUGAUAGGGGGUUUUGUAAAUUUUCCUCAAUGUGUACUCAAUAAUUCUGUUUUCUAAUUCCAUUUUCUGCAAUGAUUUUUGUCACAAAGUGGGCCCAGCUAUAUAGUGAGUAUAACAGCAUAAAUACUGUAAAACUACUUCAAAUGAUAAACUCACAAAUACUUAUUUUAACAAAAAAAUUACCAGACAUCAGGAAAUCAAAAACAACAUGGACUAUUGUAUUUGGUUAUCUAAUCCCAUUUGAUAUCAGUACUACACUAUCUAGCUUCCAGUUUUCCCAUAGCCAGAACUGAGGGUUUAGGAUGUUUUACCAAGAUUCUUUCUUAAAACCAAAUGUAAGAUACCAGAUAAUGGGCAGGAAGAAGAAUGGCUUGAGGACCAGUUAUACGUCUACUUCAAUAGGUUCAUAAAAACAGGACGGAAUCUAUUUGCAUUGUCAUUCCUUAAUUCUACAUUCUUCACAUAGUUCAGCAAAAUCCAUGUAAACAUUCCACUUGACAAAAUAGGUGUAAGAGCCACCAAAAUUAUAUUUGUACUCAUCAGCCAACCAAACUAGAUAAGAUUGAUGAAGGUAAGAAGUUCAUUCUGCAAGGAACCAGGUAUAAAUAUUUACUGAGAGAUACAGAUACAGCCUGUCAAAUACAAAAGUGAAUGCUGGGACAUACCAGUUAACUGAAAACAGACCUCUUGUUGGUAAAUUUUGAAAAAGGAUUCAAAGAGCUGAAGGUGCUUUCAACCCGAGAAGAAUAACAAUGCCAGUGACCAGCGCUUUCUUAUAAUAGACAGAUUUACAAAGAAAGUACAUGGACUAACCUAUGGCUCCAAAUGCCUAUGUGGCAGAAAAUGGCCUUUUUGGGCAACAUUGGAAAGAGAAGCUCUUGUAUUCCCUACUUUGUCUCCCAGUUCAAGGGAAUGCAUUGCGGCAGAAAGGCUGGUUUGAAAAGAAGGAAAUGGAACGGGUAGGAACCUUAUGGGCAGGAAACUGGGAAAGGAAAUAAUAUUUUAAAAGUAAAUAUAGAAACAUCCAGUUAUAAAACAAUAAAUUUUGGUAAAAAAUAAAAAAAGAAUGAUAUGAAAGAAAGAAAGCUGCCAAGUAAAAAGACAUCUUGACACAGAAAUCUGAAGUGUUAUUCAGAGUAAUACUAGUGGAAAGACUGAGAUGAUGAAGUCUCAACUACAAAUACUUCUCUACCCCAGAUAUCAGUGUGAGAGACAAACUGUACUAUAGGUAUCCAAAGUGUGGAGGAGUUUAUUCAGAACUAGGGAUACAAUACUUGUUUUUCCCUUCUUCCUUAGGACCUUUUCUUCUUGAAAAAAAGAGUAAGGGUCAUGAGUUCUCAGGAAAACAACUGUGCCCUUCACAACACUUGGCUUUUGGUAUAAAGAAAUUAAUGAUAUAAACUCUCUUAUUUCAAGGAACCAUAAGAACAGAGAAGUCCAGAUAAGAACAGAGACGUGCAAAUGCUUCUGAGAGUCUCCCAGCUCCUGAUUCCCUUAUGUGGAAGACUCAGAUCAAUGCUAUCUCUUCAGCGAUAUCACUCAAACCCUACAAAGGACUCACUGAACUUUCCAAAGGACCACAUAUUUCUUCCUUGUUUUUUAUACCAGGAAAGAAGAUCAGCUUUUUUCUCCCUAUUUCUAUUCUCUUCAUCGUCUUUGUUAUCACUCCCAAAUGUGCUCUGAAGUAGAGGCCUAUUAGUAAACCCUAGAAGUACUGAAAGAAUAUCUCAGAGGAAGUUGCAGUCACAACAACACUUGUGACAUCACAGAAGAAUCUAGUGCUCUCCAGGUUAGAAGAGAGUUUUCAGGGAAUGCCUAACAAUGAUGUCACUGAAAACUGUCAUGGCCUACCUGAUGAACACCUUUCCUUACAUUGACCAGAUUCAAGUUUGCACUUUAUAGGACCUUUUCUUCUUGCGAAAAAGUGUAAAGGUCAUGAGUUCUCAGGAAAACAACUGUGCCCUUCACAACACUUGGCUUUUGGAAUAAAGAAAUAAAUGAUAUAAA